rnacentral:rRNA from 1 species
UACGUAGGGGGCUAGCGUUGUCCGGAAUCAUUGGGCGUAAAGCGCGUGUAGGCGGCCCGGUAAGUCCGCUCUGAAAGUCGGGGGCUCAACCCUCGGAUGCGGGUGGAUACUGUCGGGCUUGAGUGCGGAAGAGGCGAGUGGAAUUCCUGGUGUAGCGGUGAAAUGCGCAGAUAUCAGGAGGAACACCAAUUGCGAAGGCAGCUCGCUGGGACGUUACUGACGCUGAGGAGCGAAAGCGUGGGGAGCGAACAGG